rnacentral:rRNA from 1 species
UACGUAGGGUGCGAGCGUUAAUCGGAAUUACUGGGCGUAAAGCGUGCGCAGGCGGUGAGCUGUGUCCGAUGUGAAAGCCCCGGGCUUAACCUGGGAAUGGCAUUGGAAACUGGCUCGCUGGAGUGUGGCAGGAGGGGGGUGGAAUUCCGCGUGUAGCAGUGAAAUGCGUAGAGAUGCGGAGGAACACCGAUGGCGAAGGCAGCCCCCUGGGCUAACACUGACGCUCAGGCACGAAAGCGUGGGGAGCAAACAGG